rnacentral:rRNA from 1 species
GACGAACGCUGGCGGCGUGCUUAACACAUGCAAGUCGAACGGUGAAGCGCUUGCCUUUUUGGUGGGUGUGGAUGAGUGGCGAACGGGUGAGUAACACGUGAGUAACCUGCCCUCUUCUUCUGGAUAACCUCAUGAAAGUGGGGCUAAUACGGGGUAUUCCGGGUCUGUCGCAUGGCGGGUUUGGGAAAGAUUGCGCCUUUGGGUGUUUUCGGUGGGGGAUGGGCUCGCGGCCUAUCAGCUUGUUGGUGGGGUGAUGGCCUACCAAGGCGGUGACGGGUAGCCGGCCUGAGAGGGUGGACGGCCACACUGGGACUGAGACACGGCCCAGACUCCUGCGGGAGGCAGCAGUGGGGAAUAUUGCACAAUGGGCGCAAGCCUGAUGCAGCGACGCCGCGUGAGGGAUGGAGGCCUUCGGGUUGUGAACCUCUUUCGCCAGUGAAGCAGGCCUGCUCCUGUGUGGGUGGGUUGACGGUAGCUGGAUAAGAAGCGCCGGCUAACUACGUGCCAGCAGCCGCGGUAAGACGUAGGGCGCGAGCGUUGUCCGGAAUUAUUGGGCGUAAAGAGCUCGUAGGCGGCUGGUCGCGUCUGUCGUGAAAUCCUCUGGCUUAACUGGGGGCUUGCGGUGGGUACGGGCCGGCUUGAGUGCGGUAGGGGAGGCUGGAACUCCUGGUGUAGCGGUGGAAUGCGCAGAUAUCAGGAAGAACACCGGUGGCGAAGGCGGGUCUCUGGGCCGUUACUGACGCUGAGGAGCGAAAGCGUGGGGAGCGAACA